AGGAAAACCNUUUUGGCGCUCAGGGUAAUCUUCAGCGCGUAAGACGCGGAUUUACGCUCCAUUUAAAAUCUGGCAGUCUUUGAUUGUCCGAGUUGUAAUUUAGAGAAGUGUUACCCGCGCCGGACCGUGUACAGUCUCCUGGAAGGGAGCAUCAUAGAGGGUGAGAAUCCCGUCUUUGACAUGGACUACCGGGGCUUUGUGGUAUGCUCUCAAAGACGUCGAGUUGUUUGGGAAUGCAGCUCUAAAUGGGUGGUAAAUUCCAUCUAAAGCUAAAUAUUGGCGAGAGACCGAUAGCGAACAAGUACCGGUGAGGGAAAGAUGAAAAGAACCUUUGGAAAGAGAGUUAAACCAAGUAACGGUUGAAAUUUGGCUGAAAAGGGGGAAAACGCCUUGGACAAGUUCAAGGGUUCGCCAUUUUAANCCUGGGGGGGAAUCCAAACCCUUUUUCUUUUUUGAAUUUUGGGUGUUACCUUUCCCUAAAUUUUGAUUGGGUUCAAACAUUCAGGUUUUUNGACUGGUUGGGAUUAAAGGGUUGGGGGGAAAUUUGUUGGGCAAUUUUUUUCGGGAUUGGUUGUUUUAAUUAUGCCCCCCCUUUG
rnacentral:rRNA from 1 species